GCAUGAGGAGGAAGCAUUCUACCCGCACCCUUGUGCGUUCCUUCCCAGCUCAUUCCCCCGCUUACGGGAGCCCACAGGUCAGCCAAGGGAAGAGCUGAGCCACUGGCCCUUCCACACUGACUCAUUCAACCUCUCUGUGAAUUCCCAAGUUUUCUGGAAGUUCUUGCUGAUCUCAGGGAUUCUCAAUGGCAGGGCAACAAGGUGCAGGGAAGACUCUCGAAGCUGCUUUCUGCCUACCAAGGCAUCAGAAGUCAGCGCUCCUGGAUGAUGAAACUGAAGCUUGGAGAGGUUAAAUGAGGUACAGCUAAUAAACAUGAUUCAGACCAAUUCUCCAACUCCAAAGGCAAGCAAGCCAGCAUGCUCAGAAUCCUCAAACAUGAGGGCAGCCACGUCACCUUGCCCUGGGAUGGGACCUUUGUAAGAAGCCAUAGUGGCUACGGCAGUGAGCUGAGGCUGAAGACAGCAAUCUGGCCCGCACCAAGACCCCGAACAAGAGGCGUCAUAAAUGCUCUUUAGGUGGAGUGGAGGCAAAGGGAGACCCACGAGGGAAGGAAAGCUGGUUUCCUCCAACUCUAGGGCCUCCUGUCUCCUCCAGCUUAAAAGAGGGCAGGAAAGCUGAAACACUCCCACGGAAGGUUAAAGGGUGCCCCCUCCCGCAAAGGGGGACCUGAAGGUGACUAGGGAACAGACCGGAUGCUGAGGAUGAGGACCAGGGCAGUGGAAGUUUGAAAGCCACUGGAACAGUGCAGGAAAACUCCGGGUCAGGGUCUGGCUCAUGGCUUCUGCCCUCCUGCUAACUAUAAGACCCUGCGUUCGUCCCAAGGAAGAAGGCAUGAGCAGGACUACUCCCACUGGGAAGGAUGCAAUGCAGGGUCAGGAUUCCCUGGGUGAGGAUAAAUCCUGCAGCCUCAGAUCUGCGGCCCCGCUACCAGUGACCGUGACAAGGAAGAUUGGAGCACACUUUCCUUCCCACGGCAAUAACAUGCAGUCAAAACCCAUGUGAGCUGGGAUGGCAGCUCCAGCCAGAUUGUCCUGGGAGGACCACGCUCUCUGGGAAUCUAUCUUGGAACGUAUGUCGAGUUGCAGGCAGACGGAAUGCCGCAAGCGAGGGCUCAGCCAGCGGACAGCAGGAAUGAUAAGCCGCAGGACUGGCUGGUGCAUCUGAGGAAAGCAGCAAGGGGAGGGAAGGGAGGGAUGCGGGGGGCGGGACACGAGGUGAAGAUGGCCAAGAGGAGAGCAGUCUGGGAGAGAAGCAUUGAAAGGCUCAGUAAGACAAAUGCAGGCUGUUCCCUCCCACUUCCUUUGUUUACCCAAAGCACCAGAGACCUCUGAGACCCCCUCGUAGGGCAGUUAAGCAUCAGUGACCACUGUAGGGGUGUGUGGGGAGGGGGCAGGGAAAA